GAUCAUGGCUCAGGAUGAACGCUGGCGAGUGCCUAACACAUGCAAGGUCGAGCGGCAGCGCGAGUAGUUUACUACUUGGCGGCGAGCGGCGGACGGCUGAGUAACGCGUGGGAACAUGCCCCAAAGUGAGGAAUAACCUGCCCGAAAGGGUAGCUAAUGCCGCAUACGAUCUUCGGAUUAAAGGAUUUAUCCGCUUUGGGAGUGGCCUGCGUACGAUUAGAUAGUUGGUGAGGUAAUGGCUCACCAAGUCUACGAUCGUUAACUGGUUUGAGAGGAUGAUCAGUCAGACUGGAACUGAGACACGGUCCAGACUCCUACGGGAGGCAGCAGUGAGGAAUCUUCCACAAUGGACGAAAGUCUGAUGGAGCAACUCCGCGUGCAGGAUGAAGGCCUUCGGGUCGUAAACUGCUUUUAUGAGUGAAGAAUAUGACGGUAACUCAUGAAUAAGGGUCGGCUAACUACGUG
rnacentral:rRNA from 1 species